AUGUAUCUCGAUUUGAUAAUGAUGAUUUGCUUGAUGAACUAUUAGAAACUCUUUCUAAUGUUCAUCUCUACUCUGACUAGAGGUUCUCUGAGUCAUCAUCCUAUGAGAUCACAUAGGAUAUUCUCUCCUCUUAUAAAGAGUGAGUGAUUCCUUGUUGACUACUCAUAACCUUCAUAUACACUUCACCACAUCUAGAACAUCCCACAC
rnacentral:lncRNA from 1 species